CCUACGGGAGGCAGCAGUGGGGAAUUUUGGACAAUGGGCGCAGGCCUGAUCCAGCAAUGCCGCGUGCAGGAUGAAGGCCUUCGGGUUGUAAACUGCUUUUGUACGGAACGAAACGGUUCGCUUUAAUACAGUGGGCUAAUGACGGUACCGUAAGAAUAAGCACCGGCUAACUACGUGCCAGCAGCCGCGGUAAUACGUAGGGUGCGAGCGUUAAUCGGAAUUACUGGGCGUAAAGCGUGCGCAGGCGGUGAUGUAAGACAGAUGUGAAAUCCCCGGGCUCAACCUGGGACCUGCAUUUGUGACUGCAUCGCUAGAGUACGGUAGAGGGGGAUGGAAUUCCGCGUGUAGCAGUGAAAUGCGUAGAUAUGCGGAGGAACACCGAUGGCGAAGGCAAUCCCCUGGACCUGCACUGACGCUCAUGCACGAGAGCGUGGGGAGCAAACAGGAUUAGAUACCCUGGUAGUCCACGCCCUAAACGAUGUCAACUGGUUGUUGGGUCUUCACUGACUCAGUAACGAAGCUAACGCGUGAAGUUGACCGCCUGGGGAGUACGGGCCGCAAGGUUGAAACUCAAAGGAAUUGACGG
rnacentral:rRNA from 1 species